ensembl:lncRNA novel transcript
GCCAUAUGGAUGCCAUGUUAUGGGAGCCUGUCACCUGCUAACCGAGAUGAGAAAUUACAGGUUAUAAUCCCCUUCCUGCUGUCUGAGGAGCCCAGAAAUGAUGCAACUGAGUCACAGAGAAGUUAAGUAAUCUGCCUGCCGACACUCGGGUCGAUGCCGCCUCAUUCCAUCACUCGGGCAAUGGAGCCAAAGGCCACGUUCACAACCACUAGGCUGUCCCAGCCCCUUGCUUCAAAGAUAGCCAGGCAGGAGUUAUUUUAUAGAAUGGAAGUAAUUUCUACGGGGCCAAGCAAUAAUAAGGAAAUUGGAAGUCAAGGACUAUCUUCCGAAUGGAGAAGAAGCUCCAUCAACCACAGAAGGAAAUUAUGAUCACUCCUGCCAUCCUGCUCCUUUGUGUAUCCAGGAUGAAGGGGAGAAUUGGAGUCUUGCACAAUGAAAGGACAACAUUGCUGCCAAAACAAUCCAUCGUGACUGUAGACAUAUUUUCCACCCUCAUCCUGCAGGUUUUCUGCCAGUUGUUGGCCCCUCACCAAUUUUGCUCCUGGGCAGUCUGAGGUGGAACAUAAUUUUGUAUAAAACAAAUUAUGCUCAACCUCACUUAUAAUCAGGGAAAUGUGAGUCAAAACCACAAUAAAAUAUCACCUCAUGCUGUUUAGGAUUGCUGUUAUCAAGUAGACAAGAAAGAAGUGUUGGUGAGGGUAAGGAGAAAAUAAAAUCUUUGCACACUGUUGGUGGGAAUGUAAGUUGGUAAAGCCACUAUCAAAGGCAAUAUGAAGGAUUCUCAAAAAAUUAAAAAUAAAAUUGCCAAAUGA